AGAGUUUGAUCCUGGCUCAGGAUGAACGCUGGCGGCGUGCCUAAUACAUGCAAGUCGAGCGAAUGGAUUAAGAGCUUGCUCUUAUGAAGUUAGCGGCGGACGGGUGAGUAACACGUGGGUAACCUGUUCAUAAGACUGGGAUAACUCCGGGAAACCGCCGCUAAUACCGGAUAACAUAAUGAACUGCAUGGUUCGAAAUUGAAAGGCGGCUUCGGCUGUCACUUAUGGAUGGACCCGCGUCGCAUUAGCUAGUUGGUGAGGUAACGGCUCACCAAGGCAACGAUGCGUAGGGGACCUGAGAGGGUGAUCGGCCACACUGGGACUGAGACACGGCCCAGACUCCUACGGGAGGCAGCAGUAGGGAAUCUUCCGCAAUGGACGAAAGUCUGACGGAGCAACGCCGCGUGAGUGAUGAAGGCUUUCGGGUCGUAAUACUCUGUUGUUAGUUAAGAACAAGUGCUAGUUGAUUAAGCUGGCACCUUGACGGUACCUAACCAGAAAGUCACGGCUAACUACGUGCCAGCAGCCGCGGUAAUACGUAGGUGCCAAGCGUUAUCCGGAAUUAUUGGGCGUAAAGCGCGCGCAGGUGGUUUCUUAAGUCUGAUGUGAAAGCCCACGGCUCAACCGUGGAGGGUCAUUGGAUACUGGGAGACUUGAGUGCAGAAGAGGAUAGUGGAAUUCCAUGUGUAGCGGUGAUAUGCGUAGAGAUAUGGAGGAACACCAGUGCCGAAGGCGACUUUCUGGUCUGUAACUGACACUGAGGCGCGAAAGCGUGGCGAGCAAACAGGAUUAGAUACCCUGGUAGUCCACGGCCUAAACGAUGAGUGCUAAGUUUUAGAGGGUUUCCGCCCUUUAGUGCUGAAGUUAACGCAUUAAGCACUCCGCCUGGGGAGUACGGCCGCAAGGCUGA
rnacentral:rRNA from 1 species